UGAGGAAUAUUGGGCAAUGCCCGCAAGGGUGACCCAGCAACGCCGCGUGGAGGAUGAAUGUCGUAAGAUUGUAAACUCCUGUUAGAGGGGAAGAAUAGUACCGGUUGGACCGGUAUAUGACUGUACCCUCAGAGAAAGCCCCGGCUAACUACGUGCCAGCAGCCGCGGUAAUACGUAGGGGGCAAGCGUUGUCCGGAUUUACUGGGUGUAAAGGGCGCGCAGGCGGGAUAAAAAGCCAGUGGUGAAAUCCUACAGCUUAACUGUAGAACUGCCUUUGAUACUUUUAUUCUUGAGUUCGGGAGAGAGAGACGGAAUUCCAGGUGUAGUGGUGAAAUACGUAGAUAUCUGGAAGAACACCAGUUGCGAAGGCGGUCUCUUGGUCCGACACUGACGCUGAGGCGCGAAAGCGUGGGGAGCAAACA
rnacentral:rRNA from 1 species